AGAAUACAGACAGUUGCAGUAUCCCUACUGGAACGUACCCACAGCUUCUGGUGUACACAACUCUGCUGCUGCAGUUGCCUAGAGCAGCUGCCAGCCUGGCAGACAAAGUGUUAACAGCUCCUCUCCUGAAAGAGCUGGGACUGCUGCGAUUCAGCACUGCUUUGCUGACAGGAUGAACAGCCCCUGCAGGGGUGAGUGCAGGUGCUUGGAACAGAGGACCUGGUCUAUCAGACCAGCCAUGCAGCAGACUGCUCUGACACGACACAAGCGGUGUGGGCCAUUCUGCCACUUCUGCUGGAAGAAAAUGCAUGACCUCUGCUCCGAGGAGUAGGCAGACCAUUUAAGGUAAAACACAUCUCUGCCAGGUGUUCUGCUGAUACCAAGUAAAUUCCUGCAAACUUAGCCCACAGCUAGCCAAGCAGUGGGUCAUCCCAGAUCAUUACUGGAACAGUGCAGAGAUUGCAUUAGAUCAUCAAGGCAUAUCUGAAGAUGCACAUCAUCUCCCUUAUAACAACUUCUAGUUUCUGAGAAGGCUAAUCAAGAGGUGCAUCCAAUAGCUAAGCACUUACAGACUGGCAUCCUGCUCACCAGAAGGUAUUUAGCUACUAUAUAUCAACCCAGUCUUUCAUGCUAUGACUCGUGCAGGUAGGAGCUGGUAAACUCUAACCACAAAAGCUGACAAUAAAACCACAUUUUUCUAAAGACAGUCAGCUUUUUUGUUUUGCUCUGAGGUUUAUCAAAGAAAUAAGGCAGCAGAGUCAAAAAAAGUAGCAUAUUUUCCCACAAAGCUUCCAGCCAGGGACCUUUUCCCCCUCAGGUUGCUGAGCCAUAGAGUCUCUUUGCAAAGUUAACUGUGUGAAGUACAGACUUUGUCACCAGGUCUCAGAGACUGGUCACUGCAGGUAACUGCCUGUUAACACUGCAACAGCAGUGAUGCAACAUAAUUCACCACAGUUCCUUAACACCUGCUGCAACAUCCCCUCCAUCCAGCCUUCAGAAUAGCAGACCCCAGCUCAAGGCGUUUGGUUUGGGAGU